CACGUGAGAUCCAACUGCCUUAACCAUUAGGUCACACGUCGGGGCCCUUGUUCUACAUUUUUUAGGACCAUCCACUGUUGAUUGAGUUUGAUGUCUAUCACCUCAUCUGUUUUCACAUUCAAGAAAGAAACCAAGCUAGAGAGAAAAAAAGACAAGACAAGACUCUCAGAG